CCUCCUCUCUCCCUCCUCCAUCCCCCAUUCCCCACUCCCCUCUUGUGCGUAGAAACAUGGAGGACGGCGCAGGCACUUGUGAGAAUCUUCUGCUUUCACUGGAAAUGAUAAAGCUGGUUGGAAUUUUUACCACGGAAGGAGAGCAGAGAAGACGUUGAUGCAACAACCUUUGGGUUACCACUACAACACCUGAGUCAUGUAAUCUCCUGAACUAACCUGUUCCACCAUGAUUCCCUAAACUGUGUCUACCAGGGCCGUAGCUAGGAAUUAUGGAAGUCAUGUCAUAGGACCUCCCAACCCUUCCCCACCAGACCACAAGGUCUGCAGGCUUUUUAAAUGACUCAGAGUUUCAUUUUUAUAUCUAUUUCAUUUAUUUUAUUUGUGCAUGUGCGGUGACUGUGCAUGCAGCCAGUUACAGUUGCUCCUGUUUGUUUUAUUUUCCUACUUUCUUUCUUUUGUCGUACUUGUUUACAUUUUUACUGCUAACUUGUUUAAGAUAAGCCCUCACAAAGCUGGAGAGAAGGAUUUCUGCUCUGUUUCUUCACUGUGGGCUGUGGGUACCACUGGGCAGCCCCCUCACACAAAUGUAAUAUAUGUACAUAUUUUAAAACUUCCAUAUAUGAAACAUAUGUAUAUAUAAAAUAAAAAUAUGUGUAAAAUGUAUUAAGCCUAUUAGAAAUUGGAACAAUUUCAUAUAUUGAUAUAUAUCUAGCCCAAACAAAUAUGUAUGCUUAUGUAUGUAAACAUUGUAGACAUGUGUUAUGUAACUAUAUAUCCAUCCCAAAGCCUGUCAAUAGCAUAUGUGUUGAUAUUAUAAACAGUAAAAGUCCAAAAGUCUGAGACCAUUUUUAACAGAAUGGGAAGAUAGACAUGUUUAAAAUUAAUAAGAAAUAGAUUUUUAAUAAACAUAUAUAUGCAUAUAGAAUUUAAAUUUUUUUUAUAUGUAUGUUGUCUGAAUAAAACUUAAAUUGUAAUUGUUAACAUAUAUGCUUGUAAUAUUAUACCAUAUAGAAAAAUAAUCAUAGAUAAUUGUAAUUUACUGGGGGUAUUUCAUAAACGUUAUCUUCAUAUAGCCAGAGGAUGUAUACAUGUAAUGAUAUCUCAUUAUAGGUGACAUGCAUGGCAACAUCACUCACUGAUAUAGGGCCAUACAUGUCAUAUAUUACAUUUCUGUAUGGGCAACCCAGGGUCACAUUGUUUAUAUCAGGGACCAGCUGAUUGUGCUGAAGGUGGCUGGCGAGGCAACCAGAAGAACAUCAAGUCAGGAGGACACACAGAGGAUGCAGAGGAGGAACAAAGCCACAAGGGAAGAGAGCUGGGUCCAGAAAGAGAGACCCUCCUGUAAUGGGAGAUCACUGGACAAUAAGAUGGACAAGCUAGCGGCUCUAGUGAGGAAUCAAAGGGACUUCUGUAAAUGUAGUGUUAAUGUUUUGCAGAGACAUGGUUACAUGAAGAUACUCAGGAUCCCAUCAUCCCGUCAAUGUCCAUUCUACAGAAUGCUGCAGGAAUGAGCCCUAAAAUUCAGAAAAAGCAUUUUUGUACCUCUGGUUCCCUUGUCACAAUGUUGAUGGGUUUUGUGAAUGGGUUUUUGGUUAGAUGACAGAAAUGAGAUCUGGGGUUAACACAAGGUCAAGACAUUUUCACAUUUUAUUCUACGACAUAAGAUACGUCUGUAAAUACCCCAGUCGUGAUUUCUUUAUGCUUUUGUGUGUUCAUUAGUGAAGAUUAUCAUGCUGAACAAAACACAUAAGCGUCAUAAACUGUUUUCUGGGAAAAACCCCAUUCCCUUUUUGUCCAAUGCUAACUUCCGCCAUGGCCUACAAAUACAUUACCCCUGCAGCGCUCUAUUCCCAGGGAGAUCUCACACGUCAUCUUGGUUGAGGUUUCCACUGAAGAAAACAUGAUGAUUAUCAGGCCAGUUCUGGAGUUAUCAGGCCAGUUCGUUCUUUUUUCACUGAUUUCUAAGUAGGAUUGUAUAUCUUUAUUUGCAAUGAGGAUUGGACAUAAUUGCAUUCAUGGAAAAUGUAAGUCACACUGAAUCUAAAUGUAAUCUGUCUAUCAUCUCUGUAUCAUGUCUGUGUGUUCAGGUUUGACUGAAUCAUGACAACUCUUGAUUCCUGGCACUGAUAUUAGUUCAAGAUGUUUUUAUAAAAAUACAUUAUGUUUUUUUUUUCAACCACUUUUAUUUUGUCAAAGUAGCUCUCAUCUUAUUUACAAUGAAAAUGAUUUGAAAAAUGAACCCUAUUGAUUUUGGUGAUCCCAUAUGACUUGAAGCCAAUAUUUACACAUGCAUGACAUACUGGAUUACAUAAUAGCCUGAUUCCUUUGAGUUUUGUUGAAGACAUUCAUGCUCCCCAGAGGAAGAACCCUUGAAUUCAGUGAUUCCAUAAUGUAUUGCAUAAUACCACCUUUAAAUUAAACUUAACACAUUA